AACACCCCCCUAGAGGAGCCUGUCCUAUAAUCGAUAACCCCCGUUAAACCUCACCCCCUCUGGCUUAUCAGCCUGUAUACUUCCGUCGUCAGCCCACCACGUGAGCGUCCUUAGUAAGCUCUAUCGCUCAAUUCGCACAAACGUCAGGUCAAAGUGCAGCAAAUGAGGGGGGAAGAGAUGGGCUACAUUCUCUAAAGUAGAGUAAACGAACGACUGCAUAUGAAACCCAGUCUAAAGGCGGAUUUAGAAGUAAAGAGGAAAUAGAGAGUUCUCUUUAACUUGGCACUGAGGUGUGUACACACCGCCCGUCACCCUCCUCACAGCCAUUAAAAAGUAAUUAACAACUUAUAGCAUAAAAGAGGAGGCAAGUCGUAACAUG
rnacentral:rRNA from 1 species